rnacentral:rRNA from 1 species
UACAGAGGUCCCAAGCGUUGUUCGGAUUCAUUGGGCGUAAAGGGUGCGUAGGCUGUGCAGAAAGUUGGGUGUGAAAUACCUCGGCUUAACCGAGGAAUUGCGCCCAAAACUACUGUGCUCGAGGAAGAUAGAGGUGAGCGGAACUUAGGGUGGAGCGGUGAAAUGCGUUGAUAUCCUAAGGAACACCGGUGGCGAAAGCGGCUCACUGGAUCUUAUCUGACGCUGAGGCACGAAAGCCAGGGUAGCAAACGGG